GAAGGUGUGCUGUGAGGCAUGCUGGAGGUAUCAGAAGUGCGAAUGCUGACAUAAGUAACGAUAAAGCGGGUGAAAAGCCCGCUCGCCGGAAGACCAAGGGUUCCUGUCCAACGUUAAUCGGGGCAGGGUGAGUCGACCCCUAAGGCGAGGCCGAAAGGCGUAGUCGAUGGGAAACAGGUUAAUAUUCCUGUACUUGGUGUUACUGCGAAGGGGGGACGGAGAAGGCUAUGUUGGCCGGGCGACGGUUGUCCCGGUUUAAGCGUGUAGGCUGGUUUUCCAGGCAAAUCCGGAAAAUCAAGGCUGAGGCGUGAUGACGAGGCACUACGGUGCUGAAGCAACAAAUGCCCUGCUUCCAGGAAAAGCCUCUAAGCAUCAGGUAACAUCAAAUCGUACCCCAAACCGACACAGGUGGUCAGGUAGAGAAUACCAAGGCGCUUGAGAGAACUCGGGUGAAGGAACUAGGCAAAAUGGUGCCGUAACUUCGGGAGAAGGCACGCUGAUAUGUAGGUGA
rnacentral:rRNA from 1 species